CAGCAGCCGCGGUAAUACGUAGGGUGCGAGCGUUAAUCGGAAUUACUGGGCGUAAAGCGUGCGCAGGCGGUUCGUUAAGACAGAUGUGAAAUCCCCGGGCUUAACCUGGGAACUGCAUUUGUGACUGUAGAGCUGGAGUACGGCAGAGGGGGAUGGAAUUCCGCGUGUAGCAGUGAAAUGCGUAGAUAUGCGGAGGAACACCGAUGGCGAAGGCAAUCCCCUGGGCCUGUACUGACGCUCAUGCACGAAAGCGUGGGGAGUAAACAGGAUUAGAUACCCCCGUAGUCCCUGUCUCUUAUAC
rnacentral:rRNA from 1 species